GGUUGACCUCGGAUCAGGUAGGAAUACCCGCUGAACUUAAGCAUAUCAAUAAGGCGGAGG
rnacentral:rRNA from 1 species